rnacentral:rRNA from 1 species
UACGAAGGGGGCAAGCGUUGUUCGGAAUUACUGGGCGUAAAGGGCUCGUAGGCGGCCAACUAAGUCGAACGUGAAAUCCCUCAGCUUAACUGGGGAACUGCGUCUGAUACUGGAUGGCUCGAGUGUGGGAGAGGAAUGCGAAAUUCCAGGUGUAGCGGUGAAAUGCGUAGAUAUCUGGAGGAACACCGGUGGCGAAGGCGGCAUCCUGGACCGGUAUUGACGCUGAGGCGCGAAAGCCAGGGGAGCAAAGCGGG